rnacentral:rRNA from 1 species
UACAGAGGGUGCGAGCGUUAUUCGGAAUGACUGGGCGUAAAGGGCGCGUAGACGGUUGUAUAAGUUAUAAAUGAAAUACCAGAGCUUAACUUUGGUGCUGUUUGUAAUACUGUGCAACUACGAGAUUGGGAGAGGUAAAUGGAAUUCCUAGUGGAGAGGUAAUAUUCUUUGAUAUUAGGAGGAACACCAGAAGCGAAGGCGAUUUACUGGAACAUUUCUGACGUUGAGGCGCGAAAGCGUGGGGAUCAAACAGGAUUAGAUACCCUGGUAGUCCACGCCCUAAACUAUGAGGACUAGACAUUGGAUUAAUUUUUCAGUGUCGUAGCUAACGCGUUAAGUCCUCCGCCUGAGUAGUACGGCCGCAAGGCUA